GUUGUAAGUGGUUUCCCUGAGGGUUCUGUUUAUAAAUGAUCUUGAAAAAAGUAUUGAAAGUCAUGUUUCAGUGUUUACAGAUUACACAAAACUCUGUAAAGUAAUGCAAUGUGAGCAAGAAACAGUAUUACUUUGCUGCAGAACGAUUUACAUAGACUGGGGGACUGGGCAUUCAAAUGGCAGAUGAAAUUUAAUGUAGAAAAAUGCAAAGUUAUGCACUUCAGGGUAAAGAAUGUACAAGCAACUAAAUGGUAGUGAAUUAGAGAUAACACAAAGGAUUUGGGAAUUGUUAUACACAAACUAUGCAACAAUGUGCAAUGCCAAUCAGCAGUAGCUGAGGCCCUUAAGGUAUUGUCAUGCAUAAAAAAAGAGCAUUAAUUCUUGGGAUGAGAAUAUAAUUUUGUUUCAUUAUAAAUCACUAGUAAGACCACCGACCUGCGCCAGCUGAACCAGCCCCACAUGCCAGUUUGGAGCAACGCCUGGACGAGCUGUUUACCCGCUUCUGGGCGCAAUUGGAGGUGCGUACUGGAGCGGCAUCGGCUCGACACUGGGAGAUGAGCAAGAGGUGCAUGUAAAUCCUCCAGGCACAAGCAUCCAACAAACUGCAAAGCCUCUCAAGAGGGCCAACAGGUAACUCACCCACCACAUCGACCACAAGGGCAGAAAACCCUUCGCAGAUAACCUGGGGCUUCUGUCACAUCCCGCCAGGAAAGGACAUGGACUCUGCUAUGAGCCCCCGUGAUGUAACAAUGCAGGCCCAUAACCCUGCCUGCGACAGGAAGUAAGCCACACAAUGCUCUUGCCUAGCAUCACCUCAGAAUUGCCCUCACCCGUUUCCAAGUCUUGUGUGGGCUGAGCAUGUGAACCUGGAUUCAGGACUGACAACACGCUACCUGACACUGCCACCUCCUAUCGACAUGAUUCUGCCUCUGUUGAGUCUGCCGGCAAUAGGAGACGGUUGCAUACCUAAGCCCUCACAUACUACCUGGACACGAGAGCCUUGCAGACUUCACCUACCAUCUCACUAACGCUAAUUUAAGUUUUACUGAGUUCUAAUCUAAUAUUGCAUUUACCAUUCUGAUUUAUGCCAUAUUGGUGGGUAC